GUAGUACUCCCUUCGUUCUAAAAUUUUUGUCUUAGAUUUGUCUAGAUAUUUAUGUAUCUAGUCACGUUUUAGUAUUUUGAUGCAUCCAUUUCUAGAAAAACCUAAGACAAAAAUUUUGGGAGUAUCUU
rnacentral:pre_miRNA from 1 species